CUAGUCCGUGCGGUCCUCACCUCGCUGCCGACCUUCACCCUCACCGCGCUGCGGGUGACGAAGAAGCUCCUAAAAGAGAUUGACAAAUCCAUAAAAAAGUUCCUUUCGGCGCACAAUGAGAUGAUCACAGGGGGCAAAUGCAAAGUUAAUUGGGCAGAGGUGUGUACCCCGAACGAGCAUGGCGGUCUUAGCAUCCUCGACCUGCAGAAGUAUGGCCGAGUGCUACGGCUUCGGUGGCUCUGGCACACAUGGAAAAACCCUGAUCGGGCCUGGGUGGGCAUGGACUUG
rnacentral:rRNA from 1 species